rnacentral:rRNA from 1 species
AUUGAACGCUGGCGGCAGGCCUAACACAUGCAAGUCGAGCGGAUGACGGGAGCUUGCUCCUUGAUUCAGCGGCGGACGGGUGAGUAAUGCCUAGGAAUCUGCCUGGUAGUGGGGGACAACGUUUCGAAAGGAACGCUAAUACCGCAUACGUCCUACGGGAGAAAGCAGGGGACCUUCGGGCCUUGCGCUAUCAGAUGAGCCUAGGUCGGAUUAGCUAGUUGGUGAGGUAAUGGCUCACCAAGGCGACGAUCCGUAACUGGUCUGAGAGGAUGAUCAGUCACACUGGAACUGAGAAACGGUCCAGACUCCUACGGGAGGCAGCAGUGGGGAAUAUUGGACAAUGGGCGAAAGCCUGAUCCAGCCAUGCCGCGUGUGUGAAGAAGGUCUUCGGAUUGUAAAGCACUUUAAGUUGGGAGGAAGGGCAGUAAGCUAAUACCUUGCUGUUUUGACGUUACCGACAGAAUAAGCACCGGCUAACUCUGUGCCAGCCGCCGCGGUAACAC